rnacentral:piRNA from 2 species
UGUGGAUGAGUUCCUGAGACGCAUGGG